AGAAGUCAUGUUAGCUGUGUGCGCAUGAGGCUGAAUUGAGGCCGACAGGUAGUCGCCAUUACACAAAACUUUCUGGCUGGUUUUUCCCGGGGGUAUCCUGUUCCACAUGCAUAAACUUCUUCAUGAUGAUCUUCACUGAAUGAUUCGGCUGAGCCAUCCUGCCUGGUGGGAAAGAACUACUGCAGGCUGAUCCUCCGACCGCUGGUUGCUGAUACCGCUCGACACUGCAUCAUUUCAAGGAGGCGGUAGGAGUAACCUUAAGGGCCCCAACGUGCACUUUAAAUACUCUGAGCUCAGGUAUUUUUUUAUUUAAUUUCUAUUUUAUUUUUGGCCAAACAGCUGGAACAACAUCCGCAUUCUCGCACUGGAGCCCGAUCGGUCGGGUUCAUGGACAAUUUAGGAUAGGAAACUGUGCAACAAACCCUGUAUUGUCUCUUUUGUUAUUUUGGGUUGUAUGUAAAUAAAUUGUCAUUGUCCUU